CAUCGAGCAACAUCGAUUAAAUAAUAAAUCAUUAUUGAUAACUGAAUCAAAAACGUCUGGAAAUUAUAUUUAAUCGUGAUAACGUAAACAGAGUGCUUAUAAGAUUCACGAACCAAUUUCCAUAGUAAAUUCAAGAUGUGAAGCAAACAUCCCCCGAAUCGAAUAAACAAAGGGAAGAGCUCGUUUCAUCACACUCAACUACCCAUUCGAUUGGAUUCUUCGAUGGGUGUACAGUGUAGAAAAUGCAGUAGUAUAAUACGAAUUGUGCGCCUUUAUCUCUGUGCCCACUGAUGACAGUUCGUCCUCGGUCUGGCCAUCAACUAUUGUUAUUGAAACAAAAACUCUACUCCGAAGAUAAGCGGCUUUGUUCAAAUCCAAUAUUGCAAAACAAAGGGCCCCUGUUAAUGGAAAUAUAAUAACCAUUGCUUCCACAUUAACAAUUUAAGUGAUUAAUACAGAAAAAUGAGUCAAUGAUUGCAGUUUACGAUGCAAAUAAUUGUAUGCAACAAGAAGCGGGUUAUUCGAGGCCAAGUGCUUAGAUGCGUGUUGCGGGUAGGCGCAUCGUAAAACCUCCGUUACGGCACGCACACAAUACUUGCUGCGACGGUGUCAAUCAUGCACCUACAAUGUGUUCAUGUUAAGGGCAACCCUCUUAAAAAAAAAAACAGAAAAAUAAAUGGAUCUAAACUAAUAUUGUAAAAAAAAAAAUUAAAAAAAAACUAUUAUAUAUUGCUUUUAAAUUUCUUCAUCUAUCGUGAUGAUUAUUAUUAACCUUUUUUUUAUACAACUUAGCUGCAAACAAGCUGACGGCCCACCUGAUGGAAAGUGGUAACCGUCGCCUAUAGACAUGAGCAGUACCAUGGACGUAACAGAGUAUACUGUUUCGCCCAUGAUACCCCCCAUGCGUUGCCAUUCCUUAGGACUCAGAUGUUAUUCCUCUGUACCCUGUAAAUUCACGCCAUAUCCCAUCCUUCAAACCGAAACACAGCCAUGCAAACACAACUGCUUCACGGUAGAAACACGAAUGCGACAGAGGUACCCAAGCAAUCGA